rnacentral:rRNA from 1 species
UACGAAGGGGGCUAGCGUUGCUCGGAAUCACUGGGCGUAAAGCGCACGUAGGCGGCUUCUUAAGUCAGGGGUGAAAUCCUGGAGCUCAACUCCAGAACUGCCUUUGAUACUGAGAAGCUUGAGUCCGGGAGAGGUGAGUGGAACUGCAAGUGUAGAGGUGAAAUUCGUAGAUAUUCGCAAGAACACCAGUGGCGAAGGCGGCUCACUGGCCCGGUACUGACGCUGAGGUGCGAAAGCGUGGGGAGCAAACAGG